rnacentral:rRNA from 1 species
GACGAACGCUGGCGGCGUGCUUAACACAUGCAAGUCGAACGGAAAGGCCCUGCUUUUGUGGGGUUCUCGAGUGGCGAACGGGUGAGUAACACGUGAGUAACCUGCCCUUGACUUUGGGAUAACUUCAGGAAACUGGGGCUAAUACCGGAUAGGAGCUCCUGCUGCAUGGUGGUGGUUGGAAGUUUCGGCGGUUGGUGAUGGACUCGCGGCUUAUCAGCUUGUUGGUGGGGUAGUGGCUUACCAAGGCUUUGACGGGUAGCCGGCCUGAGAGGGUGACCGGCCACAUUGGGACUGAGGUACGGCCCAGACUCCUACGGGAGGCAGCAGUGGGGAGUAUUGCACAAUGGGCGGAAGCCUGAUGCAGAAACGCCGCGUGCGGGAUGACGGCCUUCGGGUUGUAAACCGCUUUCGCCUGUGACGAAGCGUGAGUGACGGUAAUGGGUAAAGAAGCACCGGCUAACUACGUG